CAAUAAAAAGCAUUAAGCACAGAGAUGAGAAAAAUAAUUCAAUAAACUCAUUCAUAUAAAUAGAAAUCAAAUCAUAAAAAUAAGGGUUUCAUCUUGUUACACUCAUCCCUAACAAAUAGGGUUUAGUUACUCAUGACAGAGAUAAAAGAGAUAGAGAUUAGAGAAGAAUUACAAGAAGGAUUCAUGAAUGAUUCUUGAUAAAACUGCUCCAAUGAUGUUAGAAACGGCCGUCUUUGAGUUUCUAUGCUAGGGCACAAGUCUCCCAACUUCC
rnacentral:lncRNA from 1 species